AAACUUUUCCCGCUCUUAAAACUUUGCUACUCGGAAUAUCACGGAAAUGCUUCCGAAAGUUCGUGCAUGUCGAUUAGCGCCUUAUUCAAAGAAACAACAUUUGUUUACCACUCGAGAGAAACUGAAACAAGAAAAAACUAUUCUACAACGUUAACAGCGAUGGCAGAGGGUAGCAUGAGACAAGAACACAGAAGUGAACAAUCUGGUCCUCCAUAAUUCUUUGAUGGCCAAACUGAAUAUCAGCUGGAAAAAUGGCAAAAUUUCAUUUGGUGCCUCAAAGUUGUUCACAAUAAUUCUUGAUUGUGUCUCAGAGUCCUUUCCUGAGUCGGUUGAAGCAACAGAAACUAGGAUGAAGAGUGAAAUGUCCAGGUUCCUGAAAUAUGCCCCUGAAAGGCACGGAGGUGGAGGGAGGAAAGAAAAAAGAAAGAGACAGGAUGAGGACAUUUCAAAUUUCA